rfam:Brachypodium distachyon strain Bd21 chromosome 3, whole genome shotgun sequence.
UAUAUACUCUAUCCGUUUCAUAAUUCUUGUCGAAAUCUUACAUGUAUCUAAACAUUUUUUAGAAAUAGAUACAUCCGUUUUUGAACAAAUGUGAGACAAGAAUUAUGAAACGGACGGAGCACAGG